rnacentral:rRNA from 1 species
UUAUCUCUGUAGAGUCUGCAUAUCAAUAAGCGGAGGAAAAGAAACUAACUAGGAUUCCCUCAGUAACGGCGAGUGAAGCGGGAAGAGCUCAAAUUUGAAAUCUUCAAGGUUUUACCUUGACGAAUUGUAGUUUAAAGAAGUGUUUUCUGUUGGAAUUUUGGUAAAAGUUCUUUGGAAAAAGACAUCAAAGAGGGUGAGAAUCCCGUAUUUGACCAUUAUUUCCAGCUUUGUGAUACACUUUCAAAGAGUCGGAUUGUUUGGGAAUGCAGUCCAAAAUGGGUGGUAAAUUUCAUCUAAAGCUAAAUACUGGCGAGAGACCGAUAGCGAACAAGUACCGUGAGGGAAAGAUGAAAAGAACUUUGAAAAGAGAGUUAAACAGUACGUGAAAUUGUCAAAAGGGAAGCGUUUGACACCAGUGUUGUUUUCUCGAAAAUCAAUUAAAAAAGAUUGGAUUUUGUGUUGUAUUGACUUUAUCAGCUUUCUGCACUCUUUUCUUGUCUUUUUUAAUGCACUUUUCGUUUAACAAGUCAACAUCAAUUUCUUUUGUUGUAAAAGAGUCAUUGGAAGGUGGCUUUCUUUUCGGAGAAAGUGUUUAUAGCCUUUGGCUUCUGCAAUCGGAGAGAUUGAGGUCUGCAGCGUAGAUCCUUCGGGGUUAGACUACAUUUGUGCUAAGUUAUAGCCUUUCAUAGACAACUUGUUGACUAUGAUCAGUCAUGUAGCUUACUCGCUUAUGCUAUUUUACCUACGCUUAGGAUGUUGAUCUCUCACAGUCGAGC